rnacentral:rRNA from 1 species
AUUGAACGCUGGCGGCAGGCCUAACACAUGCAAGUCGAACGAGUGGCGGACGGGUGAGUCAUGUCUGGGAAACUGCCUGAUGGAGGGGGAUAACUACUGUAAACGGUAGCUAAUACCGCCUACCAUCGGAUGUGCCCAGAUGGGAUUAGCUAGUCGGUGGGGUAAAGGCUCACCUAGGCGACGAUCCCUAGCUGGUCUGAGAGGCUGACCAGCCACACUGGAACUGAGACACGGUCCAGACUCCUACGGGAGGCAGCAGUGGGGAAUAUUGCGCAAUGGGCGCAAGCCUGAUGCAGCCAUGCCGCGUGUAUGAAGAAGGCCUUCGGGUUGUAAAGCACUUUCGGCGGGGAGGCGGUACUCGCAGAGGAAGCACCGGCUAACUCCGUGCCAGCAGCCGCGGUAAUUC